rnacentral:rRNA from 1 species
CUACGGGAGGCAGCAGUGGGGAAUUUUCGGCAAUGGGGGAAACCCUGACCGAGCGACGCCGCGUGAGGGAUGAAGGCCUUCGGGUUGUAAACCUCUGUCUUCGGGGACGAUGAUGACGGUACCCGAGGAGGAAGCCACGGCUAACUACGUGCCAGCAGCCGCGGUAAGACGUAGGUGGCGAGCGUUGUCCGGAAUUACUGGGCGUAAAGGGCGUGUAGGCGGCCAUUCAAGUCAGGCGUGAAAUCCCUGGGCUUAACCCUGGGACUGCGUUUGAAACUGGGUGGCUUGAGGACAGGAGAGGAAAGCGGAACUCCGUGUGUAGCGGUGAAAUGCGUAGAUAUACGGAAGAACACCAGUGGCGAAGGCGGCUUUCUGGACUGUCCCUGACGCUGAGGCGCGAAAGCCAGGGGAGCGAACGGGAUUAGAUACCCCGGUAGG